GUGUGUGUGUGUGUGUGUGUGUGUGUGUGUGUGUGUGUAUACAUCCUUUGAGAUAAUAGCUAUCUAUCCACUGAUUAAGAGUCUGCUUUUGGGUGGGUGUAAUUAACAGGAGGAGGAGAGUGUUGAAGGAAGUAAAAGAGAUGGUCUAGGAGUUGGGGAGAUCAGCAGUGAGCAGAAGCAGAUCCCAAGACCUGCUGCUCCUUUCGUUUAUGCCCUUGUGUUUUACAGAACAAGAGUCAUUCCCUCUAGAGCCAGCUGUGAACGCUUUAGGGUGGCAGACCAGGCUCUGAGUCCUCAAGGGAUAAAGGUCAAACAGAUUAGUCUUGAAUUAUAGCAGGCUGAUAAUAGAUUAUAUACAGUCCUUCUCUAGACCAAUAAUAUAAUGAAAACGGUAAGGAUUGCCAGUGCCUGGCAGUGUAUGACAACAUCAUGAGUCUCCAAGUGUUAUCAUCCCACUCAACCAAUGAGGACACUGAGAAAGAGCCUUCUUCCUAACACAGCCAUUAAGUGACAGAGCUGGGUAGACUAGAUAGAUAGACUGUCUCCCAGAGCCACCACACUGUGCUCAUCCAGGCUAAAAUUGGUUCAAGAAUGUACAUUUUGGGACUUUUUAUUUAUUCUCUCAUUUUCAUCGAUUAUCAUAAUCUCAACUAAUAGAGCUUUUUUUUGCAAAUAUCACAGAUAUGUAUCAUGAUGCCAUUUGACUCUAUUUUUUUAUUAUUGUGUCUUAUUUAAUAUAUUACAUUUUAUGGGUUCUCUUUACUUCAAUAGCAAGUUUUUAAACAGUAUGUACCCAGAUAUGUCUGGAAGGAAUGGUGUGUUAAAUCCAGUACUUUUUUUUAAGCUGUGUCUUAUAUUUUCCUCUUAAUAAUUUGUUCAAAGCAAUGAAAAUAGAAAUGACCAUUGUUGGUAAGAGAAGGAAGAUGCAAAGAAGAUAAAAUGUAAAAAAAAAAACCAAUUAAUUGCUUACACUUGAGGUAGAGGAUAGUGUAGUUCUGAGUAGGAAAGACAGCCUUAAGGAGAGCCAUCGCUUUUGUCCUUUUAGUGACUUAGUUGUCUCGAUGCUAACCUUCCACGUCUUCUGCGGGAUCAGAUGACUGGGUCAUUCACUGUCAGAUUUUAUUUCUUUAAUUGUGCUAUGAAUUUUGGAGGCACGGUGAUUAAAUAGCAGGAAAAUAUUAUUUCAGUGCUCAGUGGUUGACUAUAAUGAUUUCUAAGUUUUUAUUCAGAUUGAGGUCUGUACUAUUGUUUAAUUUAAAGAGACAGAACAAAAACAGAGAGUUGGUUAGCACUUUUUGUCUUCCUUCUGUGGAAUCCUCAAACCACACAGUACAGCCUUAAUAACUGUUAAUGAAUGAAAAGUCAGCUCAUCUUCAAAUAGGUAGCACACAAUAUAAGCUGGGGAAUGCCACCAACUGGGAAAGUGCUUUUCCUCUGGAAGUUCACAGGCCUGGGUUCGAGGCCUCAGCCCUGGCUGCCAUUAACUAGUCUGCUUUGUUCCCUUUUGUUUUGGUUUUUCUUCAGUUCUUUCUUAGCCCUAAUGGGUUUCUUCACAAGGCUCAGGGUAGACAAUGACAAAAGAAGCAAAGCUAGAAGUAUAUUCAUAUAGAGAGACAAUAGGAAUCAAGUAGAGCAUUAACAAGCUUCCAAGAAGUUGCAUACUGUAAGCAACAGCUUUUGAAAGGUCUCCUGAACUGCAGCUGCUGUGGAGACCUCUAAUAAAUCUGAAGGAGCAAAGCUGUGAUACAGUGGGGAAGGACUUCAGCUAGUCUAACAAACGUUCUGCAGAAUGCAGACACUUAUCUCCCUAUCUCUAGAUGCUUAAUAUGACUUUUAAAAUGC
rnacentral:lncRNA from 1 species